rnacentral:lncRNA from 1 species
UGGAUUUGGUAAUGAAACCCCCAGAGGUGAGGAAGGAGUCAACAGACAGACCCAUAUGGGCAACACUGGAGGAUUAUGUGCAGGAACGCCACGAGGCUUUUGCUACCACCAGAUAAACCCUCCGCAUGUGUCUCUGAGGUUCCAGCUGAAGAUGUCUGCUCAGAAACGCCCAAGGUUCAGAAAGCAGCGCUGUGCUCUGUGCCUGCUGGCCAUCGGCUGUGCAGCAAAGCUUUGGUGCUUCAAGGAGAGGGUGAGAUGCUCUGCAAGAUUUGAAAACGUCCCGAUUUUUAUUCCUGAAGAGUUAAAUGACGUGGAUUUACACUGACAUACGCAUACAGGCAGCUUUUUUCCCCC